UGCAGUCCGGUACAGGAAGCAGCUUGCUGCGCUGACGAGUGGCGGACGGGUGAGUAAUGUCUGGGAAACUGCCUGAUGGAGGGGGAUAACUACUGGAAACGGUAGCUAAUACCGCAUAACGUCGCAAGACCAAAGAGGGGGACGGCCUCUUGCCAUCGGAUGUGCCCAGAUGGGAUUAGCUAGUAGGUGGGGUAACGGCUCACCUAGGCGACGAUCCCUAGCUGGUCUGAGAGGAUGACCAGCCACACUGGAACUGAGACACGGUCCAGACUCCUACGGGAGGCAGCAGUGGGGAAUAUUGCACAAUGGGCGCAAGCCUGAUGCAGCCAUGCCGCGUGUAUGAAGAAGGCCUUCGGGUUGUAAAGUACUUUCAGCGGGGAGGAAGGGAGUAAAGUUAAUACCUUUGCUCAUUGACGUUACCCGCAGAAGAAGCACCGGCUAACUCCGUGCCAGCAGCCGCGGUAAUACGGAGGGUGCAAGCGUCGGAAUUACUGGGCGUAAAGCG
rnacentral:rRNA from 1 species